ACUUUGCCUGUGUGGCCUCCAGUGGUCAGACAGAACCCAAAGGAAAAGAGCCAGGGUGCGGAUUGGCAGAAGCUAUUCUGGCCCAUGUGCAGAGCAUCAAGAAUGUGUGCUGCAAAAGAGUCUCUCUCUGUCACCCAGGCUGGAGUGCAGUGGCGCCAUCUCGGCUCACUGCAAGCUCCGCCUCCCGGGUUCAUGCCAUUCUCCUGCCUCAGCCUCCCGAGUAGCUGGGACUACAGGCGUCCGCCACCACGCCCAGAUCCCUAUCACGUCCUCGACUUUCCUGCAAGAGGCAGAUUAUUACAGUCCCCUGGGAGCCACUCAGGGGGAGUCUCAGGGCACAGAGGUUAUUUGAUUCAAUUACAAGAAAUCUGAUGAGUAUCUACAAGGAACUCAGAGCUGUGGGAGAAGAGAAAAAAGUGCAUGAAGUAAAGAAAAAGCAGGGAAUGAGAGAAAAAAAUGGAGGAGUGAGUGCCACAGCCCAGUCAGUAAGUGCUACGUAAGUGCCUGGAAGAGCGAGAGAGGGUGGGGACUAUGCUGGGAAGUCCAAGACGCAGGGUCUAUGUGGAUGGUAGCUAACACAAUAGUGGUCUCCCCCCAAGAAGCAAAGCAAUGGCAUAGAACUAAGAACUCUAACUCAAGACAGUUUUCCUGAAAUACAACAACUACAUUUUGAAAAUUACCAUAUUCCUGAGAAUAUUGACCCAGAAUGAUCAACACUGAGACAUAUUCUAGCAAAAUUUGGGGGCUUACAAAAAGGAAAAGAAAUCCUUUGGGCAAGAACCUGACCCCGAAAGUGAAUUCGAUUAUCAUCAGAUUUUUGACAACGAUGUUUUAUGCUAGAAAAAAAUGGAGUAACAUCUUUCAGACAGCCCCUUCCUACAGACUCUUGGAAAGAACUAGCUGUAGACAAGCAAAAUGGCUAGAGGACAGUGACACAGGGCUGGGGUUGAUAGUUACUCUAGAGCUAAGAUUAAAUGAGGGCUAAACCGGAGGCAGGACAGUGCAUAUGAUGGUUAUACGAUCUGACAAUGCAGAUAUAGGAUGACCACAAAAAUCGGGGGAAAUGGGAAAGCAUAUGAAGACAUUUUUUUGUUUGUUUUUGAGACAACCUGUUGCCCAGGCUGGAAUGCAAUGGUGGAUUCAUAACUCACUGUAACCUCGAACUCCUGGGCUUAAGCAAUCCUCCUAACUCAGCCUCCCAAAUAGCUGGGACUACAGGUGCACGCCACUAUGCUGGGCUAACUUUUUUUUUUUGGAGAGACUGGAUGUUGUUGCUAUGUUGCCUAGGCAGUUCUCAAACUCCUGGCCCCAAGUGAUCCUCCCACCUUGGCCUCCCAAAGUGCUGGGAUUACAGGUGUUGUGAGCCACUGUGCCCGGCAUGAAAGCAUUUUUUAAACAACUCUCAUAAAUUACACCAAGUGUUAGAGUGUGAUAUUGCUAUUCUGAUACUGCUGUGUGUAGUAUGGGAUAAACAGGCACCUUUUUAUAUUCUGCACCUUCUACCUAACCUCAGGAUAGAUCACUGGACACAACAUCAACUUUUUGCUUCUCUUUGUAAACGAUGCUAUUUAUUUAUUUGUUUAUUUUUACCAGCAAUGACUUUGGAGGCUUGCUUUAAUAACACCACUCUUUCUCAACUCCCCAGGUUUCCAUUUCUGUGCGAAGGGCUUCCAUUCAUUCCUGUUAUCCUUCUUGCUUUAUUCCUGGCUGUCUAGGUUUAGCAUAUUUUUAAAUCUGGAAGAAUAUUUAUCUUCAGACUGGUAGGGACUUUUGUUUAUUUUAUUAAUCUCUAAAGGUCUGUCCUGGACCACUGACAGCCAUUGUCCAUUUCAAACUCGGUUGUUAGCAGAAUUAACCUGUCAUUUCACGGAAAUAGUCUGUGUUGCUGGAAACCGAAACUUUCGCACCCAGGAAUUUACCAGGCGUUUGGUUCAGUGUGGUUUAUUUAGAUGUCGUUGAAUGGCCAACGGCUUAGUUUCUUUCUCUCCCUUUUGUACUUUCUAAGGCAAAAAGGAGAAAAUGCUGGGUACUCAUCACUCAGAAGCAUGUGUUUUAUUUUUCUUCAUAGACUUUUCUCCAUGUGAUUAUGAUUUAUGUGUUUAUGACUUUCUCCCCAUGACAGCAGGGCCCUUUGUUGUUUGCUGUUGUUUCUGCAGCACUUGGCGCCGAUGGCAUUUCAAUAAAUAUUUGUUGAAUGAA